ACAAGCGAAUACAGGUUGUUAUCGGAACUUACAUGGGGACAGGGUACGUAUAACUGCCACCUUUGAAUGUUUGACCUUGUGUCUUAUUAAUAGUCAUAGCGUAACAAAGUCUAAUAAGGAACUGCCACCGUUUACAUUAGAAUGGUAGAUCCGAUGAAGUCAUUGGUAUUCGACGUAUCAUGAUUUUUGCUCCAGUAGCAAUCUGUCAACACUGUCGUCUCUAUUAUACUAUACUUAUUCAGAUUGUGUAUUUACAUCGUGUUCCAUCGUAUCGUUUUGAUGGAUUUACUUUACCAUUAACCCUGAUUACAUCUAUUACUAUCUUCGACUUUAAAAAAUAAAUUGCCAUGUCCGUGGAAUUUAAUGAAUGAAGAGACGCGAUAAUGAACAAUGUCCUGCUCGUCCACUACUAUAUCGAUCGAGAUAUAAAUCUGAGAAGAAGCAUCAACAUUAUUUAAAAUGAAAUCGUUGAUACUGUUUACCGAUUUAUUUUGUUGGAGCUAAUAUUGCUCGCUCUUGAAACCGGAAAAAAGAGAUGUGUUAAAAGAAGAGUCGGAAUAAUUCAUUCAUGCUCUUGGCCAUAUUACAAAAAAUAUUAGAAAAGUGGGUUAUCGAGUGGAACCUUUCCGCUAUAGUUCGCAAAACCUUCCAUAGAGACGUUUAUGGUAAGAGAAAGCUCCUGAUUCGAGGAGCACGCAUAAGAUCUUUUAAGGCAUUCGUUGACUCAGCUCACGUACCUUUGAAUAUUACGGGCAAGGUUUACCAAGUCUUCUAGCACACAGUGACAUUUCCUAUCAACUCUCUGUUAUUAUUACCAAUGUCCUUGAAAGUUCUACCAAAAGUUUCUAUUCCACUUUUACGAGACAUUGAACUGUCGUCCCACACAAUGACAGAACAUGAUAAAAGAAUCUUGGAUUUAACGCUUUGCUUUGAAAUGUUGCACACGGCGUUUUCAUCUCAACAUAUAUUUGAUGGUAAUUUAGACAUUGCGUGCUAAAAACGUUGCAACUAUCCCAGCUGAGGCAACUGCAAGCGCAAUUCGACCUUCGAAGCGUAGAUUGUUAAACAGCAAAUUGAUCAUGAAAGUUUUUCUUGUUCUAUCAGGUGCGUCCAAAGGACGUUUCGUUUCGCGCACUGGUAAGAAUCGCAUUAUAUGCAAUUCUUGAUCGUCAUUUAGGGUUAAUCUAGUUGCAAAUAUCUUCUGUUCAUUAUAAGAUCUUGUGCACUGUUCGAAAAAAAGAAGGCUUAGGGUUCUCUCGCUCUUCCCUAAUAUCGACUGUACGAUUUUAUCAAUUUCAGUAAGGGCUGAGAUGAAAAUUAUAUCGUUUGAAUUCCAAGUCUGGCAAUGAAUGCUUGGUCCGGAUGCGGUGUAAGGUACGGCCUGGCACGCUAUCUCUGUGCUUCAUCGACAAAAAUAGUACAUCGGAUAUUUGACAAAAUGCUAAUAUCACAGAAAAUAAAAAUCCAACGUUCGAAACAGAACUUGCGAGGACCGCUUCUAUGAGAGUCUUGUCCUAAUAGGAAUCGUUUUCUAACAGAUCGAAUGUUUUACAGGCCGGCUGAAGAAAUGGGCCAUCGCACGAUUUACAGCGAUAGACUUUUAACGACGCGGAGUAACAUUCGUAGACAGUAGCAUUCGUAUUGUUGGGGUGGGUGGUGUACACGUGACUGACUGCGUUUUUUUAGCGAGGAACCUAGCUUACGACGUUAAAACAUAUUAUAAUUUUAAGUACAAUAUGAAGAUAUCUCGUUGCAGAGUAGCGUUUUGGCAAAAUGAUCAACGACAUACAACUUAAAAAAUGCCACCAAUGUAGUAUUUCACGAAUGUACUGAGAUAUCGGCAGCAUUGUCGCCGGUAAAUAGAACACGCUGUCCAUUCUCAAAAUAGGCAGUCAAGUGCAUAAUGGUAGGCGACGUCUCGUGGAUGCUAAACGAUAGUAUUCUCCAUUUCAUUUUAAGCAUUAAUGCUGAAAGUGGCUUGAUCACUUUCUUUGCUGAUGUAUUCGCAUAUAUACAAGGUGAUUGGUGGUACAAGCGGAAAGGGGGUGAUUCUACGCAAAAAAAGAAGUCGAAAAUAUAGAAUAAAAAUUUUUCGUUUGAGGCUUUGUUUUCGAGAAAAUCGACUUUGAAUUUUCGCUCGUGCACUUAUCACGUCUCGUUAUAACGGAUCUCACUGUAGAUCUUUAAAAAAAUUAAAAAAAAAUUUUUAUUCUAUAUUUUCAACUUCUUUUUUCGCGUAGAAUCACCCCCUUUCCGCUUGUACCACCAUUUACCAACCACCCUGUAUAUAUAUGUGUGUGAACGAUUUAACGAAGUUACAGAGUUCAACAUUGAUAUGAGAGCUAAACGUUGUGAAAAGAGCGGUGUUGUAUGGUCUGACCUACCGGUUGUCGGUAACCUUUUCUCCCCCCGAUCCAAUCUCAUCGUAGGAUAUUUUUUACUGCAUACCUCCAUUGCCGAACGAACAUUUUGCAUUCAAGGGUCCGUACGAUACCUGGGUCAUUUAUGUGACAAUCAUUACGUGUAGUUCUGAAUCUGAGAAUAGGAUCAGGAAUUUCAACACUAAUCGGAGAAUCUAUUUUGUCGGACCUGAUUUUACUUUGCAGCCAAACCAAAAGUUGUAUGUAUUUGCUAUUCUACGGUGUAUAGGAAAUAUUUAGUAGCUCCAAAAAUGUUGCCUUUAUUAACCAAGUAUAUUUAUUUUACGUAACUCCAAAAGAAACGUAAUUGACCUUUAUAUGCCCCCAAAAAGACUAAUAAUACGAAAUCGUAGUCUCCUCCACGCUAUUUAACCCUUGGCAUCGUUCUAUUUGUGAUCGGUUAUUUCACGUGCUAAGAAAUAAUUUCCUGUUUCCUCGUUAAUAUCAUGUUACUUGUCUUUUAUUUGACUGCGAAAUACGAACAUAUCGUAAAUGUUGUCAACACAAGAGCUAACAGAACAUUAACGUCACUUUCCAGGAGAACGGUUGAGUUUCAUGAAGCCUAUAGUUUCUUUUGGAAAGUUAAUCCUCGCUAUGAGUAGAAUACGAAAACCGAGUAUGUGGAAUCACGCUAUCCUGGUCGCAACAUAUAAUUUCUUAACGGCCGAUACACUUGAGAGCAGAACGUUUGAGCAGUUUUACUCCAUCGGUCGAACUAAGAGUAUCCAAGCUUCGCAUAUCGCGUGUCUUGCGGAUUAAUCCAAUCGUUUCAGCGCUAGUUUUUCUGAAUCAAUCGCCUAAAGUUGACUCGCGGCAUGAUACGCGAGUGGGUGAGACUUUUACCCUCACUGACACGAUGCAACCCACUUUUUGUGCUUUUUUUAUAUGUAGCACCUCGUAAUUUAACUUCCUGUUAAGUUCAUAAAAUAAAACUCCGUGUAUCA